rnacentral:rRNA from 1 species
GACGAACGCUGGCGGCGUGCUUAACACAUGCAAGUCGAACGGUGAAGGGACCGGUUUUUGCUGGUUCUGGCUGAGUGGCGAACGGGUGAGUAACACGUGAGUAACCUGCCCCCUUCUUCUGGAUAACCGCAUGAAAGUGUGGCCAAUACGGGAUAUUCUGCGCCUGCUGCAUGGUGGGGGUGGGAAAGAUAUUGUUUCGGGGGGGGAUGGGCUCGCGGCCUAUCAGCUUGGUGGUGGGGUGAUGGCCUACCGAGGCGGUGGGGGGCGGCCGGCCAGGGAGGGUGGGCGGGCACACUGGGACGGAGGCACGGCCAAAACUGCUACGGGAGGCAGCAGUGGGGAAUAUGGGACGAUGGGCGCAGGCCUGAUGCAGCGACGCCGCAGGAGGGAUGGAGGCCUGCGGGUUGUAAACCUCUUUCGCCAGUGAAGCAGGCCUGUCCCUUUUGUGGGUGGAUUGACGGUAGCUGGAGAAGAAGCGCCGGCUAACUACGUG